AUGCUGUAGGCAAGAUUGCUGUCCCACAAUUUCUUACACGUAAGUAAUAUUGAAGACUCUUAGACUUCUGUUGCUUGACUUAAAUUAUGUCCUCAGGGUCACCUGAGUCACCACCUUGGCUUAUACUACAGUACAACAUGUAAAAUAUGUGCAGAGAAGUGGUUUAGAUUUUAGCUGUUUGAAAAUGCAUUGUGUUUGAUGAAACCAGGUUUUCCUCAGCACUUAAUCAAAGUAGUUUUCACUGUAUUGUUUCAUAAACAAAACCCCCCAUCACUGAGUGUGAAUAUUUGAAAAACAUACUUUGUUUUCAAAUUUGAUUCAGGCCAAUGGUGCACGUACAGCUUCUCUCUGGUGGUAUGUAGGUUAAACUGAAAUAUUUCCUUCCAGCAGGAAUUUAUCAUCCAGAGACAGUGAAAUUGGAACACGUUCACUGCUGUGGCUGCUUUGUUGCAGUCAGCCUAGAGUAUGGAUGGGAAACAGACGCAGCAAGAACAAGGUCACCGAGCAGUGAUGUUUGACACGUGUUAAAUUAGUCCAAAACUUCCUUAUUUUAAAGAGGUAAGAAGUUCUCGGUUGGAGCGCUGUAUGAACACAUGAGCUGAUUAAGAGAUGGCUUAGGUAUCUUUAGUUCAGUGAAGGAGCCGUGAAGUUGGAAUGGGCCAAAAAGAACCAGCAGGUAAAAUCUUUCAGCACCAAGAGAAAUUUGUAAGGUGGAAAAGCUUCACAAAGAGAGUGAACUGCAGUAAUAUACAAAUAGCAAAUAUGAGAGAGAGUAAAGGAAUGACUUCGUUGGAGAUUGCAACCAUCUGAGCACACUGAAUGAGGCCCUGACUUUGACGGCAACAGGAUAGGAGUAUUUGACCUUGAUGAUAGAGCCCUGUGCCUCUGAAGAGAAAAGAAAAACAACUUUGAGAAAGUUAUCUGAGUGAAGAGACAUAGUCAGUAGAAAAGCAGGGACUUGGCUAACAGAGACUGCACGCAUGAAGGUAACACCUUAACCAAUUAAUGUAUAGCAGGGGUGAGUUAACGAAGGCUAAACCCUAUCAGGAGUUGCCUGGUGGCAACUGCUUACAUUUAUUACUGUAUAAAUAAGGCUCUGUUAAAGCAAUAAAAGUCUUUGGUCUGCAGAUCGCCAGAGUCCGUGCCUUUAAUCUCCACACUUUUCCAUAAAUUUGUUUUGUCAGUUUUUCUCUAAAAUAUGCAUGGAAUGUUUAUGAAAAUUUUCAGAAGGCAAUAUCUUCCAAACGUAUCAUUUAAUGGCAUGGCUAAAGAUCUCUGGCAUCUUUAUUUUGCUUGAUUAAAGAGACAAACUGCAAAGUUGUGUUUGUGCAUCUCUGUGUCUCUUGAUCCGUGGAGUGGCCCCUCAGCAAUAGAAGAAUAGUCUUUGAGCUCAGAUGAGCUGAGCUGAAGUGAACUUGAGAGACCUGUCAGUCACUGAACUGUUAAAAGAACUUAUGUGAUCUGUGGCCACUGUCUGUAGGAAACUGCCUGGAAGCCACUGUGGAAAACCCAGCACCUGAAUUUUUGUUUCUGAUAUCAGCCAAACACAACAGAGAGUUUUAACUAAA
rnacentral:lncRNA from 1 species